CACGUAGGGCGCAAGCGUUGUCCGGAAUUAUUGGGCGUAAAGAGCUCGUAGGCGGUCUGUUGCGUCCGCUGUGAAAACUCGGGGCUUAACCCCGAGCCUGCAGUGGAUACGGGCAGACUAGAGGUAGGUAGGGGAGAAUGGAAUUCCCGGUGUAGCGGUGAAAUGCGCAGAUAUCGGGAGGAACACCGGUGGCGAAGGCGGUUCUCUGGGCCUUACCUGACGUUGAGGAGCGAAAGCGUGGGGAGCGAACAGG
rnacentral:rRNA from 1 species